CCUACGGGAGGCAGCAGUGGGGAAUAUUGCACAAUGGGGGGAACCCUGAUGCAGCGACGCCGCGUGAGUGAAGAAGUAUUUCGGUAUGUAAAGCUCUAUCAGCAGGGAAGAAAAUGACGGUACCUGACUAAGAAGCCACGGCUAACUACGUGCCAGCAGCCGCGGUAAUACGUAGGGGGCAAGCGUUAUCCGGAUUUACUGGGUGUAAAGGGAGCGCAGACGGCUGUGCAAGUCUGGAGUGAAAGGGGGGGGCCCAACCCCCGGACUGCUCUGGAAACUGGAAAGCUGGAGUGCAGGAGAGGUAAGCGGAAUUCCUAGUGUAGCGGUGAAAUGCGUAGAUAUUAGGAGGAACACCAGUGGCGAAGGCGGCUUACUGGACUGCAACUGACGUUGAGGCUCGAAAGCGUGGGGAGCAAACAGGAUUAGAUACCCUUGUAGUC
rnacentral:rRNA from 1 species